rnacentral:rRNA from 1 species
GUUUGAUCCUGGCUCAGGAUGAACGCUAGCGGUAGGCUUAACACAUGCAAGUCGAACGGUAACAGGUCUGUUUACAGACGCUGACGAGUGGCGCACGGGUGAGUAACGCGUAUGCAACCUACCUUUUACCGAGGGAUAGCCCAGGGAAACUUGGAUUAAUACCUCAUGAUACUAUUAAAAGACAUCUUUUUUUAGUUAAAACUCCGGUGGUAAGAGAUGGGCAUGCGUGCCAUUAGCUUGUUGGUGAGGUAACGGCUCACCAAGGCAAUGAUGGCUAGGGGGUCUUAAAGGAUGGUCCCCCACACUGGUACUGAGACACGGACCAGACUCCUACGGGAGGCAGCAGUGAGGAAUAUUGGGCAAUGGACGAAAGUCUGACCCAGCCAAGCCGCGUGCAGGAUGACGGCCCUACGGGUUGUAAACCGCUUUUAUACGGGAAGAAACCUUCGAACGUGUUCGAAGCUGACGGUACCGUAAGAAUAAGCAUCGGCUAACUCCGUGCCAGCAGCCGCGGUAAUACGGAGGAUGCAGGCGUUAUCCGGAUUUAUUAGGUUUAAAGGGUGCGCAGGCGGGAUUGUAAGUCAGUGGUGAAAUCCUACAGCUUAACUGUAGAACUGCCAUUGAUACUGCUAUCCUUGAAUAUAGUUGAGGUAGGCGGAAUGUGUUGUGUAGCGGUGAAAUGCAUAGAUAUAACACAGAACACCGAUUGCGAAGGCAGCUUACUAAACUAUCAUUGACGCUGAGGCACGAAAGCGUGGGGAGCGAACAGGAUUAGAUACCCUGGUAGUCCACGCCGUAAACGAUGAUCACUAGUUGUGUGCGAUAUAUUGUACGUGACUGAGGGAAACCAUUAAGUGAUCCACCUGGGGAGUACGUUCGCAAGAAUGAAACUCAAAGGAAUUGACGGGGGCCCGCACAAGCGGAGGAACAUGUGGUUUAAUUCGAUGAUACGCGAGGAACCUUACCUGGGCUUAAAUGCAGCUGGACAGUUCUGGAAACAGAAUUUCCCUUCGGGGCUAGCUACAAGGUGCUGCAUGGCUGUCGUCAGCUCGCGCCGUGAGGUGUCGGGUUAAGUCCCAUAACGAGCCAACCCCUAUCCUUAGUUGCCAGCGGUUCACGCCGGGGACUCUAAGGAGACUGCUACCGUAAGGUGUGAGGAAGGUGGGGAUGACGUCAAGUCAGCACGGCCCUUACGUCCAGGGCUACACACGUGUUACAAUGGCCAGUACAAAGGGCAGCUACUUGGUGACAAGAUGCUAAUCUCUAAAACUGGUCUCAGUUCGGAUCGAAGUCUGCAACUCGACUUCGUGAAGGUGGAUUCGCUAGUAAUCGCGCAUCAGCAAUGGCGCGGUGAAUACGUUCCCGGGCCUUGUACACACCGCCCGUCAAGCCAUGGAAGCCGGGGGUACCUGAAGUCUGUAACCAUUAGGAGCGGCCUAGGGUAAACUGGUGACUGGGGCUAAGUCGUAACAAGGUA